AUAGCGUAUAUUAAAUUUGUUGCAGUUAAAAAGCUCGUAGUUGAAAUUUGGGCCUGGCUGGUCGGUCCGCCUCACCGCGUGUACUGAUUCCGGCCGGGCCUUUCCUUCUGGGGAAGCCCAUGGUCUUCAUUGACUGUGUGGGGGAACCAGGACUUUUACUUUGAAAAAAUUAGAGUGUUCAAAGCAGGCCUUUGCUCGAAUACAUUAGCAUGGAAUAAUGGAAUAGGACGGCUUUCCUAUUUUGUUGGUUUCUAGGAGAGCCGUAAUGAUUAAUAGGGAUAGUCGGGGGCAUCAGUAUUCAAUUGUCAGAGGUGAAAUUCUUGGAUUGACUCAAGACCAACUAUUG
rnacentral:rRNA from 1 species